GACGAACGCUGGCGGCGUGCUUAACACAUGCAAGUCGAGCGGAGCGGCGAACGGGGGAGUAACGCGCGAGUAACUGCCCCCCUCUCUGGGAUAACAGUUGGAAACGGCUGCUAAUACCGGAUAGUGGGGGUUGACUCGGGUCCUUUCCGCUUGUUGGUGGGGUAGUGGCCGACGAAGGCGACGACGGGUCGCCGGCCUGAGAGGGCGACCGGCCACAUUGGGCUGAGAUACGGCGCAAACUCCUACGGGAGGCAGCAGGGGGGAAUAUUGCGCGAGGGGGGAAAACCUGAUGCAGAAACGCCGCGUGCGGGAUGACGGCCUUCGGGUUGUAAACCGCUUUCAGCCAUGACUCGGUAGUGGCAGAAGAAGCACCGGCUAACUACGUGCCAGCAGCCGCGGUAAUUC
rnacentral:rRNA from 1 species